rnacentral:rRNA from 1 species
UGCCAGCAGCCGCGGUAAUACGGAGGGGGCUAGCGUUGUUCGGAAUUACUGGGCGUAAAGCGCACGUAGGCGGACUUUUAAGUCAGAUGUGAAAUCCCGGGGCUCAACCUCGGAACUGCAUUUGAAACUGGAAGUCUGGAGUUCAGGAGAGGUUAGCGGAAUACCGAGUGUAGAGGUGAAAUUCGUAGAUAUUCGGAGGAACACCAAACGCGAAGGCAUUCUGCUGGUCAUUACCUGACGCUGAGGGACGAAAGCGUGGGGAGCGAACGGGAUUAGAUA